GCACAGGUGGCGAAGUGGUUAACGCGCUCGGCUGCAACCCGAGUAUUCGGGGGUUCAAUUCCCUCCCUGUGCU
rnacentral:tRNA from 1 species